GAUGAACGCUGACAGAAUGCUUAACACAUGCAAGUCGAUGGGGAAGUGGUGCUUGCACCCUGGCAACCAUGGCGGACGGGUGAGUAACGCGUAAGGGACUUACCUGCAGGACUGGGAUAACAGGGGGUAACUCCUGACAAGACCGGAUAAUGUCAUGGAGCUGCAUGGCUUUAUGAUGAAAGGAGACGCCUGCGGAGAGCCUUGCGUCCUAUUAGCUAGUUGGUGAGGUAAUGGCUCACCAAGGCGAAGAUAGGUAGCCGGCCUGAGAGGGUGGACGGCCACAAGGGGACUGAGAUACGGCCCUUACUCCUACGGGAGGCAGCAGUGGGGAAUAUUGGACAAUGGGGGCAACCCUGAUCCAGCAAUUCUGUGUGCACGAAGAAGGUUUUCGGAUUGUAAAGUGCUUUCAGCAGGGAAGAAGUAAGUGACGGUACCUGCGGAAGAAGCGACGGCUAAAUACGUG
rnacentral:rRNA from 1 species